CUCAUAACCAAGGGGGGUUCCGACAAGGAACUGAGAGGCCAUUGUCGCUCUGGCAACAGAGCAAAGCAUGGCGACCCUGCCGCCAGAUAGCAUAACGCACUGGCGGGGAACCUGAUCCGGCUAAUACCGGCGGAGGGACUGGUGUGUAAGAAGGGG
rnacentral:ncRNA from 1 species